rnacentral:ncRNA from 18 species
CAGCAGAGGGUUAUUUUUGGUUACAGGAAAAACGACGGAUGGUUAAAAGGGAAACAGGUGUAAAUCCUGUACGAAUCCAUCACUGUGAUAAAGGAGUACCGAUUCGAAUACUGGUCACUGAUGCGGAUUAACAGAUCUGUGUUGGGAAGGCGGAAGCGGUGCAAUGAUCUUUCAGUCAGGAAACCUGCCGGUUGUCUGGUAUCGGGA